AUUGAACGCUGGCGGCAGGCUUAACACAUGCAAGUCGAGCGGAGCGGCGGACGGGUGAGUAAUGCCUAGGAAUCUGCCUGUUAGUGGGGGACAACGUCCGGAAAGGGAUGCUAAUACCGCAUACCAUCAGAUGUGCCCAGGUCGGAUUAGCUAGUUGGUUGGGUAAAGGCCUACCAAGGCGACGAUCCGUAACUGGUCUGAGAGGAUGACCAGUCACACUGGAACUGAGACACGGUCCAGACUCCUACGGGAGGCAGCAGUGGGGAAUAUUGGACAAUGGGCGAAAGCCUGAUCCAGCCAUGCCGCGUGUGUGAAGAAGGUCUUCGGAUUGUAAAGCACUUUAAGUUGGGAGGCGUUACCAACAGAAUAAGCACCGGCUAACUUCGUGCCAGCAGCCGCGGUAAUUC
rnacentral:rRNA from 1 species